CCAGACUCCUACGGGAGGCAGCAGUGGGGAAUAUUGCACAAUGGGGGAAACCCUGAUGCAGCGACGCCGCGUGAAGGAAGAAGUAUUUCGGUAUGUAAACUUCUAUCAGCAGGGAAGAAAAUGACGGUACCUGACUAAGAAGCCCCGGCUAACUACGUGCCAGCAGCCGCGGUAAUACGUAGGGGGCAAGCGUUGUCCGGAAUUACUGGGUGUAAAGGGAGCGUAGGCGGUUAUGCAAGUUGAAUGUGAAAUCUAUCGGCUCAACUGAUAGGCUGCGUUCAAAACUGUAUAUCUUGAGUGAAGUAGAGGCAGGCGGAAUUCCUAGUGUAGCGGUGAAAUGCGUAGAUAUUAGGAGGAACACCAGUGGCGAAGGCGGCCUGCUGGACGAUGACUGACGUUGAGGCUCGAAAGCGUGGGGAGCAAACAGGAUUAGAUACCCCAGUA
rnacentral:rRNA from 1 species